rnacentral:rRNA from 1 species
GACGAACGCUGGCGGCGUGCUUAACACAUGCAAGUCGAGCGGAGCGGCGCACGGGUGAGUAACGCGUGAGUAACUUCCCCCCUCUCUGGGAUAACAGUUGGAAACGGCUGCUAAUACCGGCUAGUGGGGGAUGACUCGCGUCCUAUCAGCUUGUUGGUGGGGUAGUGGCAUCCCAAGGGGACGUCGGGUAGCCGGCCUGGGAGGUCGACCGGCGACAUGGGUCUGCGGUACGUCCCAAACGCCUACGGGGGGCAGCAGGGGGGAAUAUUGCACAAUGGGGGAAACUCUGAUGCAGCAACGCGCGUGCGGGAUGACGGCCUUCGGGUUGUAAACCGCUGUCAGCCAUGACGCGGUAGUGGCAGAAGAAGCACCGGCUAACUACGUGCCAGCAGCCGCGGUAAUUC